ACGAACGCUGGCGGCGUGCCUAAUACGUGCAAGUAGAACGCUGAAGGAGGAGCUUGCUUCUCUGGAUGAGUUGCGAACGGGUGAGUAACGCGUAGGUAACCUGCCUGGUAGCGGGGGAUAACUAUUGGAAACGAUAGCUAAUACCGCAUAACAGUAGAUAUCGCAUGGUACCUACUUGAAAGGUGCAAUUGCAUCACUACCAGAUGGACCUGCGUUGUAUUAGCUAGUUGGUGAGGUAACGGCUCACCAAGGCGACGAUACAUAGCCGACCUGAGAGGGUGAUCGGCCACACUGGGACUGAGACACGGCCCAGACUCCUACGGGAGGCAGCAGUAGGGAAUCUUCGGCAAUGGACGGAAGUCUGACCGAGCAACGCCGCGUGAGUGAAGAAGGUUUUCGGAUCGUAAAGCUCUGUUGUAAGAGAAGAACGAGUGUGAGAGUGGAAAGUUCACACUGUGACGGUAUCUUACCAGAAAGGGACGGCUAACUACGUG
rnacentral:rRNA from 1 species